UACGUAGGGUGCGAGCGUUAAUCGGAAUUACUGGGCGGAAAGCGCGUGUAGGCGGUCCGGUAAGUCCGCUGUGAAAGUCGGGGGCUCAACCCUCGGAUGCCGGUGGAUACUGUCGGGCUUGAGUACGGAAGAGGCGAGUGGAAUUCCUGGUGUAGCGGUGAAAUGCGCAGAUAUCAGGAGGAACACCGGUGGCGAAGGCGGGUCUCUGGGCCGAUACUGACGCUGAGGAGCGAAAGCGUGGGGAGCGAACAGG
rnacentral:rRNA from 1 species